UAGGAACAAGGAGAACAGUGCUUCUCUCACCCCAGUUUGGAAGAGUCUAAGAAGCAGGGCUGGUAUUUCUUCUUUAAACACUUGGAAACAGCGCACACUAGCAUCGGGUCCUCAAACCCAAGGAGCAAAAAGCAUCAGUUCCUGACGGUUAUAUUCACUCACAGAAGCCCUGAAAAUCAGGAGCAGAUGAAGUUGGAGGAGAGUUCACAACCUUGUGGGAUGGAAAUGAAGAGAAGCUGUCUACAUUGAACAUGAGCGCACAGUACCCGAGAGGCUAGGGCAUCGGAAGCAUCACCACUGAGACAUCCAAUGACCUGGGCCCAGGACUCUGCUCUGUUUGUUUGAGACUGGGUCUCACUAUAAUAAUAGCCCAGGCUAGCUUUAAACUCACAAUCCUCCUGUCUCAGCUUCCUGAGAUAUAGGCAUGUGCUUGGAUUCUGCAUUUUUAAUGACUCUUAGCUAUUCCGAUGCAGUGAGUCUUUGGGUCACUAUAUGAGGAAUACCCAGUGCAGAGCAGCAAUUAACACACACAGGGACAGUGAACACAAAACACGACCCAUGCUUUCUCUGAUGCCUUGAUGUACUUUGCAUAAGGCAGUCCAUAUGGCUGCCCCUCUCCUAAUGGCCUUAUUGGAUUUGAGAUUUGAGAGCCUUACUCUUACUGCUGUUGGUGAGGAGCUCAGGUUUAAGAGCAACUUGGUUUAGUGAAGACAGCGUCAGCUCCCAAGUGUCUAGAGAGAAGGCGUUUUAACAGGGUUUUGAGUAAACAGAGAUACUAGGUUCUCUUUGUCUUUUGUCUGAGGGAGAAAGGCUACAAAGAAGAGUAUGAAAUUUCAGCAAGAUACUAUUGUCCUUCAGUGUUACCCUAUAAUCUUUUCAAGUUUUAUGAUUUUGCCGAAAUUAAACAAGUAAAAUAUUUUAAAUGUAUAACAACCAUCAUGUCUUGAAAUAAGGAAUAGAAACAUCUAUUUUACCCAUAAAAUCUCCAUGGCAACACACGUAUCACUGGUGAGGAAGACACAUACCUGAAUGCCCACGUACUUUUGAUGCCCGGGAGCCAGGCGCACCAAGAGUGGUGGAGCCCAGGAAACAGCGCAGGCUGUGCAUUUGACUGGCUAGGCCAAGUUUCCCUGGGCACGUCCCCAAGCAAAACUGGAGGGAGAGCUCAGGACAAUGGCUUAAUCAGGAGGAUUCUGAUGGGACAGGAUGCGUUUGGAAACUAAGAUGACAGAGAUAUUGAUGAGCUAUGAGGUCCAGGAGGCCUGUCUGAUGUUUGAGAUAAUGGAGUCUCCAUUUGUUUCAGGACGAUGCCUUCCUUUUCGCACCGACGUGGUUGAUGGCUUGCAGGGGAUGUAUGGACUGGCGGAUGGAGACACUAAGGAGUUGAGAGUCCCACUCGCGCUGCGGCUGUGAUGUGUGUGUGUGCUCAUUCUUUUCCUAGGAGGAUCUUUAUUCUUUUCUCCCAAAUCUCAUAACUGGUUAUGCAGAUGUUUAAUUGGGAAGAAUAGCUAUGAAAUUACUGUUUGUUUUUUUCCUUUCAAACUUUCCUAUCUGGGCCACUUAUUGUCUCUCUUCUCUAUUUACAAAUGCUCUAAACAUUAUAAAAUUAAAGUUUAAUUAGUUUUUAAAACUAAACUUUGCUAGGAGGCUAGGGUUUUUUUCUUUUUUCUUUCUUUCUUUCUUUCUUUUUUUUUUUUGAGAUAAGGUUUCUCUGUAUACUUUUGGUGCCUCUCCUGGAUCUCGCUCUGUAGACAAGGCUGGCCUCGAACUCACAGAGAUCUGCUUGGCUCUGCCUCCUGAGUGCUGGGAUUAAAGGUGCAUAUCACCACAGCCCGGCCCAAGGCUAGGAUUUUUAAAAAGGUUGUUGUGUCUCAAUUGAAAGCCUGGUGUACUAUAAGAAGGCUAAUAUCAAGAGGAGCUGAAAUUCAGAAAAAGAAGUAGAAUCAAGUUAGCUGAGUGAGGUGGAUGAGCUCCAUGGAGGCAGUGGGACACAGGACGUGCAGAGGGAGCAUGCUCAAGCCAAGAGAAGUUAGGAAGAGAGAAGACUCCUUCCUGGAAUACCAGAAGACUCAAGAAGUUAGGGGCAGAGAGAAUCUCCAGAAAACGCCUCAUGAGGGCCUCUGACAUCCCCGAGGACCAGCCUGUGGGACAGUGUGUCAUCACAGCGCUUCUCAGCCCAGACGGGGAGAGAGCGGGAUUCAGGACAAGGCCAGCUCGUGUAACACAGCUCAGAGCAUACCACACAACUUGCUUCGAGGAUGUUGGGCAUUGUGCUUCAUUAGGAAACAAAAUAUAAGCUUUCCACACCAUUAGGGAUGACUUUAGGAGUGGAAAGCACAUAAGACGAUGCCUCACCUCAUCAACAAUGCACUGCAGAAGCUGGAGAGGCUGCAACGGGAAGAAGAGAGGGAAAAGUAUUAGCCUGUGUGCAAUGUCUUUACAGUGGAGUGGAAAGAAAAAAAUCAUUAAUGCAAUAAAAUAUAGCAAGAUUAAUCAACAACAGCAAACUCUUAUAAAAACAUGGAUGCUCAGGACGUCCUAUUAUUUCUAAUGGUACCUAAUCUAAUACAGGCAGUUAAAGGUUUGCAUUUUCUUCAAAAUGCAAUUUGCUAAGUUUAAAACAAGGCAUUCAAGCAUGCAAAGGAAGCAGCCAUCAGGAAAAAGAAAAGUGAAUUUUUUUUCUGAACUCAUAAAGCUUACCAUUAAAGAUCCCUGGUUUUUCUGAAUCUGAAAAAAGGCAAUAUGUAAUUAGCAUGUCAUAAUCAAAAUGACUCACUUGGACACAUUAUGAUCACUGAGAGAAAAUUAUUGCAUUGCUGGUGGCAAUUUGUGGGCAUGUGUUAACACAAUUUACAUAAUGAAAAUACACAAAUGUUAAUAGCUCGCUUCUCAUUUAUAGGCGAAAGUCAGCAGAAUGUUAAUUUCACACAACACUUUUUAGUACCCUCCAGGUUGUAUUAGAAUAGGGAGAAAAACCAUAAUCCAUUUCAAAAGGCUGUUUACGAUUCAGAUAUAAAUAAUGUUUUAUAUUGCUAGAUUGUGAACACUGGGCUUAAUGUUGCAAUCAUUGCUAAUGUUAUGAAGCUCACUCUUUUUAAAUUAAAAACCGAUUUAUUUAAAAUUGAAAUUAAAUCAUAGUCAGAAAUUAGAAUUUUGG